AACUCACUCACUCACUCUCUCUCUCUAUUUCUUUGACGUUGCUCCUCUUCCCUUUUCCAUCGUUGCUCGAGCCGUAAGAUCUAGAUUUGUAGCUCUGUUACCUUGCGGCGUCUGAGACGUCAAUCGCCGCGUCGCCAUCGCUGUGGACCUCUGAGGACGAUGAUUCAAAUGAUUGCAGAUCCAGUCACUCUCUGUACUUGGCAGACCUACGACGAGAGAUCAAACAUCCUCAAAUGGUUCUUCGCCGUCUCUGUCGAAAUCUACGCCGUCGACUACAUCAAGCGGCUGGAUGGCUAUCGAGCAGGGUUGACCAGACAAGCUUCCCGGUGGUACGUUCUAGGGCAACAACCAAAGCUGGCCCAUAUAUCCCGACAAUGAGGAGAUCACAGGCCACAGUUAAAGCCAACACCGUGGCGGUGCCAUUGCCAGGGUGGAUAGUUGCAUUAAGGCCAGUUAGCUUUUGGAGGUCCUUUUUCCACAAGACUGAACUAUUGAUGAUUUUAAUGGCAUAGAUGAACCCAUCCGAUCUAGCAGAAUACAUAGUGCCGUUAAAAAAUGCAGGCAUUGCAUAUAGGUCUUUCCUCCCUGAUUUGAAUUUCGACUCAAGACUAGGGUUUGAAACAGGUGAUGGGCUGAUCUGGGUUUCUUCAUGGGUAUAUAUACCGUUAUGUAUACCACCAUCAUGAUUCAACCAACCUUCUGAACAUGUAUGGUCUCUCCUUUUAUGCCACUGCAAAGACAAAACAUGUUAGUUUGAGAGAGAGAGAAAAAAAAAA